rnacentral:rRNA from 1 species
AACGAACGCUGGCGGCAGGCCUAACACAUGCAAGUCGAACGCAUCGCAAGAUGAGUGGCGCACGGGUGAGUAACACGUGGGAAUGUAUCCUUUGGUUCGGAAUAACGUUUGGAAACGGACGCUAAUACCGGAUGAGCCCUUAGGGGGAAAGAUUUAUCGCCGAAGGAGCAGCCCGCGUCUGAUUAGGUAGUUGGUGGGGUAAAGGCCUACCAAGCCGACGAUCAGUAGCUGGUCUGAGAGGAUGAUCAGCCACACUGGGACUGAGACACGGCCCAGACUCCUACGGGAGGCAGCAGUGGGGAAUCUUGCGCAAUGGGCGAAAGCCCGACGCAGCCAUGCCGCGUGGGUGAUGAAGGUCUUAGGAUUGUAAAAUCCUUUCACCGGUGAAGAUAAUGACUGUAGCCGGAGAAGAAGCCCCGGCUAACUUCGUGCCAGCAGCCGCGGUAACAC